UACAGAGGUCUCAAGCGUUGUUCGGAUUCAUUGGGCGUAAAGGGUGCGUAGGUGGCAUGGUAAGUCGGAUGUGAAAUCCCGGGGCUUAACCCCGGAACUGCAUUCGAUACUGCCAGGCUAGAGUACUGGAGAGGAGAUUGGAAUUUACGGUGUAGCAGUGAAAUGCGUAGAUAUGCGGAGGAACACCGAUGGCGAAGGCAAUCCCCUGGGCCUGUACUGACGCUCAUGCACGAAAGCGUGGGGAGCAAACAGG
rnacentral:rRNA from 1 species